UCCCUUAUUUAAGAUGGCCCCUGGUCUUCUGGUCAGGCCACAGGACUAGGGUGGCGUGGGGUUUUGUUUUGUUUUCCGGGGGGAGGCUGUGCUUCAAACUAGGAGCCCGGCCGACCAAUAGACGUCUUUCCAAGCUUUGUCAUGGCUAUUAAUUAAAACCUCCACGGCCCCGGGAAUUCCUAUGCUUGGCUCAGAAGAAGUCGCUGAGCGAUCUGGGUUGUGGUGCCUGUGGUUUAAUUUGGUUUUAUUUCUAUUCCUAAAUUAAACCCUCUUACCUGAAGUUAUUUCUCAGCGCCAGGACCUCGUUUGGAGACACGGAGGAGAAAGAAGGAGGCGCAAGGAGUUCGGAAGCCAAGGAAGGAGUUUGGGAGCCUUUCUGAUAAUGUAAACAAGCUGAGACUCCAAGCACAUUUGUAAUGCAACCCUGAAGUACAGUCCACACAAUUCAGUGUGGCUUAUUCCCAGAUAGGAUUCUGUUUGGUUGCUAUUUUGAGUCAAGCUUGGAACCCCUACAAGUGAAUGUCUAAUUUCAAUGGGUUUGUACCGCUCUCCCAAGUUUUUUCUUUGGGGGAAAAGGACUAGUUAGAAUCAAAAAAUAGGAUGGAGAAUGGUUCUUUUGCCUAUCUCAUUAAGAUAUUUGAAUUCUUAUCCUAGGAUCAGAAGAAGAAAGGAGAGCCCACUUUGAAAGUAGCAAGAGACGUGAAAGUGAAUGUGUCAGAAAAUGAUCAAUAAAGUAAAGUGCUUAAAAUA